GGAAGCACGUGAAGUUGUUGUUUUGGUGGAUCGUGAGUGUUGUCAGAACAAAAUAUGCCACGACAAAGAAGGGCACUGACACAGAGGCAAGACUCAGACGACGAGUUCGAAACUCCGGCAUUCCGAGACAUCGGAAAAGAUGAUGAGACGAAGGAAACCGAAGAAAUUGACAGCGAAGAGGAUCUGGUGGAAGCAGAAGAGUUCUGUUGUCUGCCAGUGAUGAGGAUGACAGUGAUGCUGCUCCUGAGGAUGUGGGCUUCUCAGAGACCCGGGCAACAGCCCUUUCCCAGAUGAGGCAGGCAAUGACACAGAUAAAAGAAGAAAAACUCCAGUUGAAAGCAAAGAGAAAGCAGAGAGAUGAAAAGUUUAAGGAACAAAAGCGGAUAAAGUUGGAAGCUGUGUCUCACUUGCCUGAUGAAAUCCUGAACAGUCUUCCAGAAAAACUCAGUGAGGAAAAGAAGGAAACAGAAAUAGGAAAACAGAAAAA
rnacentral:misc_RNA from 1 species